rnacentral:lncRNA from 10 species
UUCUCUUUGGAACUCUGACAUGGUAGCCGAAGGGAUGGAGACAGUUACAGAGGAGGGAUGUACCCAUCGCUCAAGAAGCCUGUUGAAUUGGCUCACAAUCCUCCAGAAGGCUGCGAUUGUGCAUGCAAACCUGUGUGACAUUCCAUAGACUGAGAGUUGGAGAGGGCAGGGGCUAGGGCAUGAAAGACAAGGGUGAGCAUCUUUCACAUCAAUCUUGGAGGAAGGUCGAGGACUUGCCUGUCUGCUAAAAGGUAGGAACUUCCAUGGAAGUGUAAAGGUCUGAGGGCGGAAACUUAGUAGGGAGGCGACAGAAUGGGAAGGGAAGCCGGUUGGACCCUGGGGCAGCCUCCCAGUCACAGAGGCUACCAAGGAGCCUACACAGAAGGGAGGUGGCAGGGCAGCAGGGGCCCCACACCCAUCAGCCAUCUGCUGGAAUUCUCAGUGUCCUCAAAGCUGAAGUGCUGCACUGUAUGCCGUUAUUUUUCUUCUCUUUUAUUAUUGUUUUUUGGUGGACUGGAGUUUGAAUGAGGUAACGAUCAAGAGGGAAAGACUCGUCGAUUGACCCUGUCACCCGCCUCACUGCAUCUCUAACAGGCCUGUAGCCCUGUAAACGUGAGGAGCAGCUCAGGGUUGACAGAGGGCCAUUGCCUCCCUUUUUCUGUCACUUCCUCCAUUGCCUCAACCCCUGUCCAGAAGAGCGCACCUUCAUUCAACAAGCAUGGAUCAAGCACUCGUGACGUGCCAGCCAGGGCGCUGGGGAAAUGAUGAGGGUUGGGUUCCGUGGUGGCCGACACCCAGCCCCUCCUCCACAGUGCCUGUCUCCUUGCUGGUAUCUUGGCAGGCUCCCGUUCUCCCAUCAGACGCUACACUCACACAUGCUGCACAUACUGGUGAAUAGCUUCUUGCAGUCCAUCCUGGCACGGUCCCCAAAUUCCGCAGGGAACAGGGUGUGCUUCAGCCCUCUCCCUCUCUCACUAAGGGCUAGGAAGUUUUGAGUCUUCCAUCUCACACACCCCAGAGGCUGCGUUGCCGAGAAGACACAGGGGCAAUGUGAGGCCUUCUUAUUCCUGACCCACGAGAACGAUGCCAAGUUGGGGACAAGAAGGGUAGAGGCUUGUUUUGCUUUCAUUCCUGCUUUAUGCCAGGCACUCUGAAAGGCAUUGUGUACACUAUUUUCAUCAUCAGACAAUAGCCCAUAAUACUUUGUCUGACAUCUGACAAAGAACGAUCAGCCUCAUUUUACAGAUGGUGAAACUGAAGGAGCAUGUUCAUGUUCAUACAGCACAAAGUGGCUCUGGGAUUUCAACCCAUAGAGGAGUGUUAGAAUAAUACCCUCACAAAUUCAAUGUUGAAAGUGCUAAUGAAGUCCGGGCGCGGUGCCUCAUGCCUGUAAUCCCAGCACUUUGGGAGGCCAAGGCGGGCAGAUCACCUGAGGUCAAGAGUUUGAGACCAGCCUGACCAACAUGGAGAAACCCCGUCUCUACUAAAAAUACAAAAUUAUCCGGGCGUGGUAGCACAUGCCUGUAGUCCCAGCUACUUGGGAGGCUGAGGCAGGAGAAUUGCUUGAACUUGGGAGGUGGAGGUUGCAGUGAGCUGAGAUUGCGCCACUGCACUCCAGCCUGGGCGACAGAGCGAGACUCCAUCUCAAAAAAUAAAUAAAUAAAUAAUAAAUAAAUAAAAUAAAAAAAGUGCUAAUGAGACAGAAAAGGGCACUGAAAGAUCCGGUCACCCAGGGACCUCUCAAUUGCUCAGAUUUGGAGAAGGUGGGGAGAGAAGAUUGCGUCAAACAGACCUGAGAUCCGAUCCCAGCUCAGUCAUUUCCAGCUGUGUGACCUUGGCAAUGGAUGGCGCCUCUCCUUCCAUCCUCUACAGAAGGAGGAAGAGAUGUUUAAAGUGGAAAUAAGAGAAUUGGAGUUCUGAAAAUGUGAGAAUCAAAUCUACAGCCCCAUUUGUUCAGUGACUUCCUAUCUCCACCCCGUGAAGUUCACCAGAGGCACCGAGGGAACUUGCCCAGAUGGUUGUGGUGGCAUUGUCCCUGGUGUGUGAGGAAUUUUGGAGAAUACAAGAGGUGUAAAACUACUGUAGAUGAAAAUAGGAGGUUCUAAUCUUUAAGAAGAGGGAAAGAUAUUUUCAAAAUUCUGGGGUUUCAUUACCACAACUGUUGUGGAAGGUUAGAGAAAAAAAGAGGGACCAUCAGGAGCUAGAUGGGGUUCACUAAUUAAUCCCCGACUACUCAAGUGAGAAUGGGCAUCACCUGGGAGACUGUCAGAACGUCAAGAGGAUCCCACUCCACUCCGCACCUGUGAAUCACAGUUUGCACUUAACAAGAGGCAUAGAUGAGUCAAAUGUACAUUCAAGACCAAGAUGCACACCAUAACCUGUUCGUUUUUGUUUGUUUGUUUGUUUGUUUUUGAGACGGUCUUGCUCUGUCACCCAGGCUGGAGUGCAAUGGCGCGAUCUCAGCUCACUGCAACCUCUGUCUCCCGGGUUCAAGCGAUUGUCCUGCCUCCACUUCGUGAGUAACUGGAAUUACAGGGGUGCAUCACCAUGCCUGGCUAAUUUUUGUAUUUUUAGUAGAGACAAGAUUUCACCAUGUUGAGGCUAGUCCCGAACUCCUGAGCUCGUGAUCUGCCCUCCUCAGCCUCCCAAAGGGCUGGGAUUACAGGUGUGAGCCACUGUGCCCAGCCCGUAACCUGUUCUUCAACCCUAUAAGUAGGUGAGUGAUUGUAAAGGUGCCAUGGAAAGCUAAAAGUUCCUUCAGGAACCUCUUCCUCCAGGAGAGGAUUGGAGGGGCACUGUGCAGGGCGGGGUUCUGCCUCCUUUGCCCCAUGGUUUCGUUCACUUGUUUUACACAGUGGGCUUCCAACUAAACUUUCCUUUGAAGAGCCGGGCCACAGCCAAAGAUGUUUGAAAAUCGUCUGUGCUGUGUUAUGGAACAUCUGUGCUAUGGAAUGUUGCACAGCCUUACGAGGCAUGAACUGGAUCUGGGCCCACUGACAGAAUGGUCCCAGAGACAAAUUGUUUAGUGAAAAAAGCAAGUCUCAGGCCGGGCAUGGUGGCUCACAUCUGUAAUCCCAGUGCUUUGGGAGGCCAAGGCGGGCAGGUCACCUGAAGUCAGGAGUUCGAGACGAGCCUGGCCAACAUGGUGAAACCCUGUCUCUACUAAAAAUACAAAAAUUAGUUGAGUGUGGUGGCAGGUGCCUCUAAUUCCAGCUACUUGGAUGGCUGAGACACAAGAAUCGCUUGAACCAGGAAGGUGGAGGUUGCAGUGAGCCGAGAUCACACCACUGCACUCUAGCCUGGGUGACAGAGUGAGACUCCAUCUCAAAAAAAAAAAAAAAGAAAAAAAAGAAAGAAAGCAAAAAGCAAAAAGCAGCCGCCAGGCACAGUGGCUCACGCCUAUAAUCUCAGCACUUUGGGAGGUCAAGUCGGGUGGAUUACCUGAGGUCGGAAGUUCAAGACCAGCCCAACCAACAUGGAGAAACCCCGUUUCUACUAAAAAUACAAAAUUAGGACCGGGCGUGGUGGUUCACGC